UACGGAAGGUGCGAGCGUUAAUCGGAAUUACUGGGCGUAAAGAGCACGUAGGCGGUGAGCUAAGUCCAAUGUGAAAGCCCCGGGCUUAACCUGGGAAUGGCAUGGGAUACUGGCUGACUCGAGUCUGGUAGAGGGAAGUGGAAUUCCGGGUGUAGCGGUGAAAUGCGUAGAGAUCCGGAGGAACAUCGGUGGCGAAGGCGGCUUCCUGGACCAAGACUGACGCUGAGGUGCGAAAGAGUGGGUAGCAAACAGG
rnacentral:rRNA from 1 species